rnacentral:rRNA from 1 species
GACGAACGCUGGCGGCGUGCCUAAUACAUGCAAGUAGAACGCUGAAGCGAGGAGCUUGCUCUUCUUGGAUGAGUUGCGAACGGGUGAGUAACGCGUAGGUAACCUGCCUUGUAGCGGGGGAUAACUAUUGGAAACGAUAGCUAAUACCGCAUAACAAUGGAUGACACAUGUCAUUUAUUUGAAAGGGGCAAUUGCUCCACUACAAGAUGGACCUGCGUUGUAUUAGCUAGUAGGUGAGGUAAUGGCUCACCUAGGCGACGAUACAUAGCCGACCUGAGAGGGUGAUCGGCCACACUGGGACUGAGACACGGCCCAGACUCCUACGGGAGGCAGCAGUAGGGAAUCUUCGGCAAUGGGGGCAACCCUGACCGAGCAACGCCGCGUGAGUGAAGAAGGUUGUCGGAUCGUAAAGCUCUGUUGUAAGUCAAGAACGGGUGUGAGAGUGGAAAGUUCACACUGUGACGGUAGCCUACCAGAAAGGGACGGCUAACUACGUG